GAUGAACGCUGGCGGCGUGCCUAAUACAUGCAAGUCGAGCGAACAGACGAGGAGCUUGCUCCUCUGACGUUAGCGGCGGACGGGUGAGUAACACGUGGAUAACCUACCUAUAAGACUGGGAUAACUUCGGGAAACCGGAGCUAAUACCGGAUAACAUGUUGAACCGCAUGGUUCAACAGUGAAAGACGGUCUUGCUGUCACUUAUAGAUGGAUCCGCGCCGCAUUAGCUAGUUGGUAAGGUAACGGCUUACCAAGGCAACGAUGCGUAGCCGACCUGAGAGGGUGAUCGGCCACACUGGAACUGAAACACGGUCCAGACUCCUACGGGAGGCAGCAGUAGGGAAUCUUCCGCAAUGGGCGAAAGCCUGACGGAGCAACGCCGCGUGAGUGAAGAGGGUCUUCGGAUCGUAAAACUCUGUUAUUAGGGAAGAACAAAUGUGUAAGUAACUAUGCACGUCUUGACGGUACCUAAUCAGAAAGCCACGGCUAACUACGUG
rnacentral:rRNA from 1 species